AGCCGGCCCCGUGAUGGCGAGCCUAAUUGAAAUAUUGUUCGGGUGUCGCGCAGAUUACAUUAAGUGGCAGCCUAAUAAUUUGACAGGGGAGUAAUAGAGAUGUCCGGCACCGCGCACCCCCCCCCCCCUUCUCUUCCUCCUCCCCAUGAAUGCAAGAAAUGAGGUGUGAUCGCUAACAGCUGCUUUUAUACCCCGACGGCCGUGCCGUCUGCCGCGAGGCGUCACGCGACGCGCCGUGCGAGAUGAUCCCAGCGCUCCUCCGAGAGCCCCCCCCCUCCAUCCACACACACCCCCACCCCCCGUUUUCACUGCGAAACCUUCAGCCGUUUCCCUUACGCGAGCAGAGAAACAUCAUGCUUUGUCACGGAAAGAAAUGUCACGUAAAUUGGAAUUGCGCGCAGCAUCUAAGGGACGCUGCCCUGGUCUACAGCCGGUCAGUGCAGCCACUGGACUUUGCGAUGUCCCAGAGGUCAGUCGCAGUUGAACCAGCGGUGCAAGAUUCGGAAACCCCCCAUACUGCGGCUGCGUAAAUGGGUAACGAACCACACUCGGUCGAUGGGCGGCAGGUCGCGUGUGGUGGGCAAAAGUGUCGGCACUUCCACCUCCACUUUUUUUUCAAGACGUCUGGCCAGCGUGCAAGGGCAGGCAAAAAAUACCCCCGGGUGCAAUGGCAGGAGCAAGUCACGUCGUGGUGAUGUGCAUCUUUACCUUUCACCGUCGACGGUGCCCUGGUGUGUGUAUGCAGAGCACAGCACGCAAAGAAGAAUCGAAUGAAGAAUGGGGGACGGUUCUUGUUUUCCCAUCGCGUGGGUUCCUGUCGGAGAAGCAGAGGUCUCUGCGGAUGACAGUGACACCUUGAAGCCCCGUGUCAACGCUAAGCGCACUCCAGGGCCAGCCUGGUGAACACUUCAUCACGGGCGACGGCGCGGCGGGGCAACGCGACCAAAACUUUGCUCGAUGGUCAAGAAAGCGACGAAACCUCCUCCGUACUUAUCCCACCCAACGAGUCGAGCGGUCAAACGCACUCAUUGGCAAUUAGUCAGCCUCACAAUCUCCUGCAUAGAGCAACCAUGAAAAGGGGGUCUGGGAGAUCCAUUAAAAGCGGCCAAAGAGCAGCUACAAUUUAUGGAGAAUAACAUUCCAUCCCUAUUGUGAGCGCGCCUGCGGCUGGGUAUGUACGUCAUUUUCGGGCUUCUGGGGAGCUGAAAGGGCCUCAAAGAUUGAAACUACACGUUAGCAUAAAAAUGCAGUCGAGUUUUAACGCGUUUCAAAAUCGUACAAAAGGACAGCGCUGGCCUUUUGUGGAAGAACCCUUCACAAAGAGGAGUAAGUUUGAGGAGUACGCAGAAGAGUUCAAAAUAACAAGAGUUAUAGCAGCAAUGGGCUUUGGCAAACAGGUAAAUGUUAAGUCUCUAUUUAAAUAACCCGUGUUGAUUCAAAGUCUGCUGAUGGGAGAAAAAAAAAUCACAGCAGGAUGUGUGGAUUGUACUUUUGAAAAGAAAUACCAAAUUGACGCCCUUACCCGGAUCAGAGUGGAUGAUAUCCAUUUUAAUUCAUAAAAAUGUAAGCCACUUAGCAUCACGCUGUGUGUAUUUUAAUAGGCUAAGUGCAUCGAUUUCCAUUGUCAUUUGUAAUCGGCAACGUGUUACGAUAUUGCACUGUUGCCGAGUUAAUACGCAGAAAUAGCAAAGUCAUUGCCAUCGUGCUGUGUUUGCAGUCCAGCCAUGCUUGGCCUGAAACGCUGAUUGAGCUAUAUUUUCGCAAUAAAAAAUGAGGUAUUCAAUUAUUUAAAUAUUGACUCUGUGUAAUGGCAUCUGACUGUGAGUAUUAAAAGAUGUCAGGAGGUUAACAGAGCACAUAAUAGGCACUGUAUGUAAAGCUGACUCGACGGUAGACCCAUUAAUAAAAUUAAUGACAGAACACGCUCACGUGCUGGUAAGAGCUGGAAUCUACAGCUCUUAUUAACCUGCUGCCACAACGGAGCACAGCUCACAGCUUCAGACAACAUUAGGCCAAGCUUUAUGUACAGCAUUUAAAGCGAAGGCAAAAUUAAACACAUCUAUAUGUCUGCUGUAAUGUGCGCGUGAGCAUCCCAAUCCAUCCAUCUCGGCGUUUGUAUAUGUUAAUGUCCACGGCCGUGCAUGAUCGCGUGUGUGUGUGUAUUUGUGUGAGGGCGUGUGCGAAGCUAAGUUAUAACCGUAUCUCUGCGUUGAUAUAAUCUUUAUUCAUUACGGCUAUAAAGUCGGGCAAAGAAAAAUACCACUGCUAGAUCGGGGCAUCUGUUUCUGUGAAUACGGUAUGUUUAACAGCUUACUUUGAUGAUACUCCCUGAGCAGAUAAUACGAAGAUAAUCCCCAAUAUAUGAUUUCAUAUUUUAGCAUAUUUCAUAAAUCUUAUUAUAGAGGAUUAGUCUAAGAUAUUGCCAUAUGGCACAGCAGUCUUAUCUCCAUCCCCUCCAAAAACAACUUAUUAAAAUAAUUGUAAAGGUUCCCUCUGUAGACUUCAUAUUUAAUGUUUGCUAAAUGCGAGAAAUGCGUUAUGCUUAUCACUGACAAAAUCAUGAGUCUUGCGCGUGCUUGUUUAUUUUGUAAACGUUUCAUGAAAUUCGAAUUUGCAUUUAGGACAGAGUACACACACACACAUAUUUAUAAUUUUGAAUUCUGUUGCUGCAGGAUAAAAUUGAGCGGAGAAAAAUGGGCAACGUCAAAAUGUGUUUUUGUCUCUCAAAAACACAGCCAAGUGUGGAAGUGUACGUGGAAAUCACUUGAAUUGUAAGUGUACCCCGGGCAUACUAUGCAAUGUUGCAGUUGCUCUCAAUGAUUAUACUGAUGACACUGAAGGCUGGUUAUUAUGUUUGACAGGAUAGCACUCUGUGGAAUAUGACUGUCUGCUCGAUCCGACACACAUUUUUAAGGAGAACAUAUUUUAAUUUUAACGCAUUUCUUCGCAGCGGUUACUUGAUCCUUUCGCGACAAACGACGAUGAGGACGACUUUUAUUAUUAUGACGUGUUCUCACCGUCAAAAAGAAAAAUAGCGGCUGAGUUAAAACACAUGUGUGUGUGUCCACACACACACACACACGCGUGUGUGUGUGUGUGUGUGGACACGCGCACGCGCGCGAGCACUCACGCGCAUUGCUACAGGGACAGGCGCCAUCUUAACGUCACAGCGCAACGUGCUUUCUGCACUUCUCAUGGAAGUGCCUCACAAAAAUAGUUGUGUAAUGAGGUCUGAAUGAUUGUGCUGAAACUUGUUUCUCUUACAUGCUGACCCUGCGACCUCCAUAGAGCACAAAUAUUUGAAACCUAAAUGAAGUUGCUGGCUGACUGGCUAUUUGCCCUCCGAUUGCCUUGCGUGAAGCGAGUGUCGGCCCCCUUUGCUAAUUUCAAACAGACAAAAGGACCUUCGCGAUCCGUGCUGACGGAUUUUUCAAUAUCGUCACCCAUUCUGGGAAAUGACGGACAAAGUGUUUUUUUGGGUUUCGGGAAAAUACCACUAAACAAGGGAAAAUACAACGCGCACACCUGGACAAUAUGGUCCCCAGACGGAUUUUUCCAUCUCUCUAUUUGAAGGUCAAUAACAAGCCUUUUUGAGAGUGGCCUACUUCUAUUGCAUGAUGUGCUAACAUCUUUCUGCCUCAAUAUCAGAAAGGAAUUUCGCACUUAUAGGCCGGGUGGGUUGAUGAUUGGUGCAGCUGCUCAGAAUUGACCUCCUGACUCCAUUUUUAAAGCAUGCAGUAACACCAUCAGCUUUCAAUUGAGAUUUGUUUAGAUUCAUAUAGUUUAAAAGAUUCCGCUGUCUUUGGAUCGUGAGCGUGUUAGGAAAGAAAAGAGCCUUGUUUGAUAAAAAAAACACCCCCAUGUUUUUUGCCCAUAGCAAAGAUCCGUAAAACAACAAUAAUCGCGUAAUAAAAAGCGCACAAUUUGAAGGGCAUAUUUUCGGGUGUCAAAUUCAACGCGAAAGCAUCGGUGGGUGAUUCAACACCAUGAAGCGGAAAUGUUAAAGCGACCCGUUAAAAAAAUAGCUGUAAUUACAAAAGCGCGCGCGUAUUCAUAAAUAAACAUUUAAUCAAACAGACGUAACUAAGGCACUCAAAAUGCAGGCAAUUACUGAGCGGCGUUUGGUACCGGUGCACCGGCGAGCGCUUCUAUUGUCCGGAGCACAUGUGUGUCUGGCGAGCGCUGUCAGUCUUCUGACACCCAUCCCAUGUCCCCUGUCGCCGGCGCCCGACAGCGAGUAAAUCCUCCCAUCACCCCAGCGGCAUCUUCCCUCGCACUCUUCACGCCGGCAGGGGCGGCGGGCGACCCCAGGAGACCCGCCAAACUCAAUAACUGACCAGCGGCGGGUAAUCGCUCCGCGGCAAGAAUAACCAAACACAGAGAGAAGGCGCGCGCAAACUUUUAAUUUUAUUUAUUUAUUUGGUUUGUUUUUGUUUUUGCUGCCCCACUUUUUUUUUGGGGGGGGGGAGGAGGGGGGGGGGGAGCGGUUCCUGCAGUCGUUUGACCGAAGCCGUUUUGGUGCACUGUGGGUAAAAAUAAUGAAAGGAAAUUCAAGUAACGGGAUAUUGUAAAUUACACCGCAGAAAUCUUACGCGGCUUUUCUGAUGAACUAACGGCACAGCGAAUCAUCGUUCUUCCUGCCGCUCGUUAUGUAAAUCGGUUCUGACACAGCGCGCCAUGCUUAAUGUCCUUUUGCCAAAAAAAAAAAGCAGUUUUUCCCCCCCUGCUCAAGCAGAGCCGAUGUUUUUGCAAUAGUGGGAGCGCAGGUCCCUGAAAGAGCAGUUAAACUACAACAUUGCCCGACUUGUAUAUUUUCUUUAGCAGUUAGCUGAAACGCAGCUCGAAGUCCUCCCCCUAGUCCAUGCGGCGAGGUACUGCGAGGCCCAAGCCUCGACAGCUGUGAGCCCACGCAGUGGCCGUGCUACGUGGCGCAAGACUUUGCAGCAGGUGCUGGAAAUUCGGCGAAUACUCGCACCACUCCUCAACCUGAUGUUGGAAUGAUGCGAGGGGGAGUCCCCGUGUCCCCAGCUCAAUUACGACCCAGGUUUGCGUAAUACGCGCAGAGGCCCUUUGCAACACCAGGUUCUCAUUAUAGAGGAAUGUGAGAUGGCUAUGAUGUCUCACUUCUCCCGAUGUCAGUUUUCAGCAGGACCUGUGAAAUGUGCAAAAGUGUCCGUUUCUUACAACAUGUAAAAAAAAAUUCUGUUUCACAAAGGGUUAUGUUCGGGACUCUGGUUGUUUUUGCAGAUCCUCAGCCUAAACAUCUUGUGUAUUUUAUUUGUAAUUUCAGACGCAAGUAACAAUAUACACGUUUAAUAAUUUUGUUGCAUGCAUUUACAUUGGGCCCACUCUUCAACUGAUGGUUAUGAAAGGUCAAACAAAAAGUGUUUUCCAAUCGGUCACAGCUGAUGAUUGUGGUCCAAAGUUCAUGCACCGAGAUUCACCACACUCUCAAUCCAGGUGAUGUUCUCAUGCUGGAUUUGUGUGAAUGUGUUGCUUAAAUUAUUCGCACAUUUGAUAGAAUCGGUGUAAAUAUCUACUGGGCUGCAUUGCUCCUACAGGAGAGCUCUUCUCCAUGGUGAUGUGAUGGGACCAAUAUUGCGGAUCACGUCGUCUGCGGGGUUAUCCGCGAUUUUACUCCGCUUAUGCAGAGGAAAAAAAACACCGUCGAUACUUGUGGACAUCAUGUGUAAGAAGAGGGCCGGGGAUAGUCUGAAGUUUUGUGGACCCCGCGGCACUCAUGGAUCGGAGGAGUUGCGGGUAAUAGGGUAACGGUUAAGAUGAUUUAUUUUACAAAUUGCCAGCCCUGAUUGAAAUAAGUAUUUUUUUUUAAAUGAAAUAUGGAAUGAUAUGUAGAAACUUCAUGCAAAACAAAGAUUACGGUCGACGGAAAAACCAACGUUUAACAAGUUAACUUUUCAUUACCUUGGGUGUUCAGUUCACAUUGCACGCUAUUUUAAAUAUUUGAAAGAGUUAAACCAAUACAGAUGUGUUUUAUGGCAAAUACAGUUACAAGAUUGUUGUACGGUGAAAUGUUAGCAUUGAUGAAGGAAAACAAACAUGCCAAAAUACUGCCAUUCAAUGUAGCUGUUAAAGAACUACGGGUGUCCAAUGCCUCUGUGUAGACGAGGUUAUGAUUUCACUAAGAGCUCGCCGGAUUUGGACGCACAAAAAAAACGCAACCUGCAUUUCCCCUAAAAGGCACCAAUGGAAUAAUUUUCCUUUAUUCAUGAGGGCAAUAACUUGAAAAACGAAUUUGAAAGCAUUUUUUCCCCAUUUCCGUAUAGGCGCGUACUACAUUUGCUCUAUCAGCUAAACAUCAAAUCCAAACCUUUCAUCAACAAAGCCGCAAUCUAUUGAGUACAUGGGAACGUAAUUGAAUCCUUUUCUUUUUCAGAAUAGGGAGAUUGGUUGCGGGCUCUGGAGAUUAGAUAUUUAGUUUACAGUGACCGCGACGUGAUUGAGUCUUAUAUUGUCACUCUGAUUACCAUAGAACGCAGCAAUCAUAAGAAUAUUCACACCGUGUGCUUAGCCUUUCAUGCCGGUCACAUGAAUUGCCCGCGCCUCCAGAGUCGUUGAAGGACUUGAGCUGUUUUUUUGGCAAAAUAACUUAACUCGGUAUCUAAUGUAGUUGUUACUCUCUCCCAUCACGGCAUAAUAUGCUAUGGGAUGCAUUGUCUAUAAUACAUUUCUCUCUCGCUCUCUGUGAGCACUGUUUUACGCUUGGUAGAAAACAACUACAAAAUAUACACAAAGGCAUUCAAUUUGUCGCUGCACUUUUUACAGUGAGUCGACGUUGACCUUUUUCAAGCAGUCAAAACAUGAAUAUACCUCAAAACCAGCUCUAAAUAAAUUAGAUUAUUUCGCAGCCUUUUUUUGUCAGUCCACUGCUGGAUGAAGGCCUCAUUAUCCCUUGUCAUUCGUCGGGGGGUUUUGGCCAAACUUCACCGUACUGAUCAGUGUGGGCUGGUUUCGGGAUUGCCGUGUCCAAGAUCGGUUUCAGUUUUCACUCUCCAAUGAUGUUAGCAUUGUCCAGGAAUUGAACCCAGGUGGCAGUUGUUAGUGCCACUGUGCUACAUGGCUCACAGGGCUAUACCUAAUAAAUGAAAACUGAAACACCACUGCACAAGCACUCUACCCUUUUAACAUAUGUUACAUAUAUAAAUGUUUUUUUUAAAAUAUAUUGUUAUGAAACUUAAGUCAUAGAAGAUAUCUCAAUAGAUUAAAUUAUUUUACUUUCAUGAUAUAACAGUUCUAAAGUUCAUCAACCUAAAAGUCUAAUCUUAAAGUCAUUCAUAGCCCUUUGGCCAGUUCACUGCUAGAUUAAGUUCACUGCCCUAUCGGGCAUGGGGUUGUGUCCAUACUCCACUAUUCUGGUUAGUGUAGCUUGGUAGAAAAGAUGCUCGGGACCGGUUCAGGUAUCGCAUUGACUGAUAGUAUCCCUGGCCGGGAAUCGAACUCAAGCGACAAGGGACAACCACUGUGUCACACCUCCACCCUUUAAAAUACAUUUAUAUUAAAUUCAAGUUCAUGUUUUUGUUCUUUAAGUUAUACAAUUACGUGUUUUUUCAGGUAUAGUUGUUCAAACCUUCAUCAACCUCAAAACCUACUCCUCUAAAUGAACCACAAAUGUUAUUAUCGCACGUACAAUUGCGUGACAAAUAUAGUAACCGAGGGCUUUGACACUAAAAUAAAAGAUCACCAAUUUACAUAAAACCACGAACGGAACACGUCCGAAAAGUAAUGUCACGUCUCUUAGAAAUAACCUGACAAGUUGUUCACACAGCUCCACACACACAUAUAUAAUAUUGUAAUAAAAUUGCAAGACUCCAAAAAGGGCAAGGGUUGGCAAGGGAUGCAGCAGCCACUGCCCGCCGCCGCCGUUGUUUUAAUCGAGCUGACUCUGUCCAUGUGAAUGUCAGUGCCAUGGUAACCCACCGCUCAAGAAAGCAUUUCUAAAUUGAAUUUGUUGCAGUGUAAUGUGCUAAAAAAAAAGCGCUUCAGAUCAAUCGUGAUUCAUGCAGUAGUGCUUUUCACUGGCCUGUGAGAGGAGGAGCUGGCAAACUUUCCCACAGACCGAGGCGGCAGGGCACACAUGAGUUAUGAGGGAUGGUUGAAUGGAGUUGAGCUGCUUAUAAGGCCUGAACGGAGCUAAAGAGAUAUAAUGCCAAUAUCAAUGUGUGCGCGCGUUUGUUUGUCAGAGCAUUCAUAUUCACUUUUGCAUGGAUGCUGUUGUGCACGGUCCGUGACUGUAUGAUAUUAUUGCCCCAGGGAGUAGGGGGGGGGGUGUCCCUUUGUCUCCGGAGAAUCAGCGGGGUUGACGGAGUGUUUGUUUUUGACGGGAGAGAGUCUCGGAGCCAUUGUGGUUUUGUAUUUUCUGAAAUGUGUGCAUGGUUGCAUUUUACAAAACUUUUAACAACAUUGCAUUCAAUAGUCAUGCACUUUAUACAUGCGCGUAUUAUAAUAUUGUUCGAAAGGGAGUUGGGAAGUGGUGUGACGUUGCAUACAAACCUUUUUGUGAUGAGCAAUGGAAAUGUUCAGAUAUCAAAGUUACAUUCUUAUGAAUUGACUUAUAUAAACUUAUAUAAACUUAAUAAACAUAGAUGUUUACUCGUUA